UCGGCUACUUUCGGGCACGUGUUUGCUAUUUGGCGAUGAACACUGCCCGCGAGUAGUUGUGG
rnacentral:pre_miRNA from 1 species